UGGGGUUUAGUAUAUACAUAGUAUGUCCGACUGUUAAUCGGAAGGUUUAUACCUCAG
rnacentral:tRNA from 1 species